rnacentral:rRNA from 1 species
AGGUGAACCUGCGGAGGGAUCAUUACACAAUAUGAAGGCGGGCUGGCACUCCUUGAGAGGACCGGCCUUGCUGAAUUAUUCACCCGUGUCUUUUGCGUACUUCUUGUUUCCUGGGUGGGUUCGCCCACCACCAGGACAAACCAUAAACCUUUUGCAAUUGCAAUCAGCUCAGUAACAACAUAAUAAUUACAACUUUCAACAACGGAUCUCUUGGUUCUGGCAUCGAUGAAGAACGCAGCGAAAUGCGAUAAGUAGUGUGAAUUGCAGAAUUCAGUGAAUCAUCGAAUCUUUGAACGCACAUUGCGCCCUUUGGUAUUCCAAAGGGCAUGCCUGUUCGAGCGUCAUUUGUACCCUCAAGCUUUGCUUGGUGUUGGGCGUCUUGUCUUCAGCUGCUGCAGACUCGCCUUAAAGUCAUUGGCAGCCGGCCUACUGGUUUCGGAGCGCAGCACAAGUCGCGCUCUUUUCCAGCCAAGGUCAGCGUCCACCAAGCCUUUUUUCAACUUUUGACCUCGGAUCAGGUAGGGAUACCC